AAUGGGGGCAACCCUGAUCCAGCCAUCCCGCGUGCAGGAUGACGGCCUAUGGGUUGUAAACUGCUUUUAUAUAGGAAGAACGCCUGGAUUUAUCUGGGUUUGACGGUACUAUUUGAAUAAGCACCGGCUAAUUCCGUGCCAGCAGCCGCGGUAAUACGGAAGGUGCAAGCGUUAUCCGGAAUCACUGGGUUUAAAGGGUGCGUAGGCGGCAUGAUAAGUCAGAGGUGAAAGCUCAUCGCUUAACGAUGGAACUGCCUUUGAUACUGUCAUGCUUGAAUCAGGUUGAGGUUGGCGGAAUGUGACAUGUAGCGGUGAAAUGCAUAGAUAUGUCAUAGAACACCAAUUGCGUAGGCAGCUGACUGGACCUGUAUUGACGCUGAGGCACGAAAGCGUGGGGAGCGAACAGGAUU
rnacentral:rRNA from 1 species